rnacentral:rRNA from 1 species
GUCUAUGGCCAUACCACCCUGAACCAUACCCGAUCUCGUCUGAUCUCCGGAGCUAAGCAGGGUCGGGCCUGGUUAGUACUUGGAUGUGAGAAAGGAACUAGAAAAACUAUAAUUGUCAAAAACU